rnacentral:rRNA from 1 species
GCGGUAGAGAGAAGCUUGCUUCUCUUGAGAGCGGCGGACGGGUGAGUAAUGCCUAGGAAUCUGCCUGGUAGUGGGGGAUAACGUUCGGAAACGAACGCUAAUACCGCAUACGUCCUACGGGAGAAAGCAGGGGACCUUCGGGCCUUGCGCUAUCAGAUGAGCCUAGGUCGGAUUAGCUAGUUGGUGAGGUAAUGGCUCACCAAGGCGACGAUCCGUAACUGGUCUGAGAGGAUGAUCAGUCACACUGGAACUGAGACACGGUCCAGACUCCUACGGGAGGCAGCAGUGGGGAAUAUUGGACAAUGGGCGAAAGCCUGAUCCAGCCAUGCCGCGUGUGUGAAGAAGGUCUUCGGAUUGUAAAGCACUUUAAGUUGGGAGGAAGGGCAUUAACCUAAUACGUUAGUGUUUUGACGUUACCGACAGAAUAAGCACCGGCUAACUCUGUGCCAGCAGCCGCGGUAAUACAGAGGGUGCAAGCGUUAAUCGGAAUUACUGGGCGUAAAGCGCGCGUAGGUGGUUUGUUAAGUUGGAUGUGAAAUCCCCGGGCUCAACCUGGGAACUGCAUUCAAAACUGACUGACUAGAGUAUGGUAGAGGGUGGUGGAAUUUCCUGUGUAGCGGUGAAAUGCGUAGAUAUAGGAAGGAACACCAGUGGCGAAGGCGACCACCUGGACUAAUACUGACACUGAGGUGCGAAAGCGUGGGGAGCAAACAGGAUUAGAUACCCUGGUAGUCCACGCCGUAAACGAUGUCAACUAGCCGUUG